rnacentral:lncRNA from 1 species
UCACUUUGUUAAAUUACUCAUUUUGAUAGCUCCUUUUAUACAAUUGCAUAUCUUUUCAGCAGGUGAAGUAAAAGUUCAAAUCAGUGUCGGCCUUAAAUAAGCACUGCUUACGUAGCCUGUUUUAUUGUGGUAAGGGGAUACAGAGGUGGAAUUGCUACUCUGGAGGGAGGCCAACCUCACACCGUUAGAGGUUGGCCUCCUUAUAAGAGUGACCCAUCUGCGGGCGAAAAGGAGCAACUGGGGACUGAGCCUCCACUCGUCAGGGCACACUUCAGUGGAAGUUAUAAAUGGAGACAAGGAGGUCCAGGUCGUGGGGUACAGGACCCUCCCAGACGGUGACAUGGAGGUCCUGGACCCCAUGGACAACGAACAUGUCGUUCCAAGGGCCAUGUGGGAUGCAGUGAUUGGAGAGACCGUCCCAGCCAUACCUUUCAAUUUAUUAUUUACUUUUGAAAGGGCAAAAUUACUCCUAAUUAAUUUAAGAGAGGAGUAGUCAUCGCCCCCCCCACCCCCCCCGUUCGAGUUUUGUUAUUGGUUAAGGACAUUAAAUCAUUAUUUCAGUUUGUCGUUGUUGUCCCAUCAUCAUUUUUACUUUCAAAUGACGUCACCGCAGCACGAAUACUCAUGACAGCCCAGGUUUUCCAGAUUAUUAUUGUUUCGAAGCCUGUCUUUGCAUUACAGGGUUGAUGUUACGAUAUGAUAUCACAGACAUUACGUAGUAAUACAUCCAGGAUAACCAAAAAGAUAAAAUAUAUAAAUAAAUAACUUAGGCCGCAGACAUUUAAUGCAAGCUACCAGCUUCAUUCAUACGUAUGGCUCUUCAUACUUCACAAAGAAUUUCAUUGAAAGCUCAAACGGUUUCAAAUCUCCUUCAACAUCCAUUGUACCAUUUACGAAUCAAAUCAACACAUCGAUAAACAGUUGCGUUUAGUCAGAAAACAAUGAAAUAAUCUGCGACAGAGAUUAUGGAUUUAUUAUUUAUUAAGCAGGACAGUGAUUUUCAACCAGUGUGCCGUGCCGCGAGAGAUCGUCAGGUGUGCCGUGGGGAAUUUUCUAGUAUCACCUAAUUAACCAUUGUCGGGUGUCUGUGCUGUAAUAAAGUAUCGCAGAUAAGGUUCCCUAAUUUUCGGACUGUAAGCCGCGCCUUUUUUCCCAUUUUUCGAUUCUGCGGCUUAUAUAACGGUGCAGCUGAUCAAUGGAUUCUUACAGCUAACUCUAUAUAAAUCACAAAAACAACUCAUAUGAAUUGAUCCUCUUCAGUCUUACUUUGUACUUGAGGCCUUUUUCGGGAAUCUGUUGGAGAGUGGGAGCACUCGAAGGUCUCUUAAAAAAAUCGCCUGACAUCCAUGGCUAAUUAAUGACAGGUAGGCGGGCAUGAUAAUACACAACGCGUAGGGCCAUGUGUUUACAUACUUCCUGUUUACAUAUUUUCCUGGAUCCGGAUUGGUGUUGCCGCCGCAGCCGCAAGGCACUGAUUGGAGGGUCACAGACCAUAAUAGCAUAGGCCUGUAGCGCAGAUGAAAAUGAUUCAGAUUACGGCGUUCAUUUGUUCAACCAUAUGAAACUUUGUUUUAGGUGUUUUUAAAAUGAUACCAAAUUUAUUUCCGAUUAUUCCAACGGCAGAAUACAAGGCACAGGGAACUUUGAGGUUCGUAAACGCUAUUUAGAGGUGCGUAAACGCUAUUUCCUUAAUUCCAGAGGUGCGUAAACGGUGUUUUACGUGCGUUUACCCUCCACUACAGCCCUGGUAACAAUCAAUUAUUACUGAGAGAAAUAUAUAUUCAAAUUCUAGGUACAAGUCGAGAGAUAUGUCAGAAGUUCA